rnacentral:rRNA from 1 species
GAUGAACGCUGGCGGCGUGCCUAAUACAUGCAAGUCGAGCGAACGGACGAGAAGCUUGCUUCUCUGAUGUUAGCGGCGUACGGGUGAGUAACACGUGGAGAACCUACCUAUAAGACUGGGAUAACUUCGGGAAACCGGAGCUAAAACCGGAUAAUAUUUUGAACCGCAUGGUUCAAAAGUAAAAGACGGUCUUGCUGUCACUUAUAGAUUGAUCCGCGCUGCAUUAGCUAGUUGGUAAGGUAACGGCUUACCAAGGCAACGAUGCAUAGCCGACCUGAGAGGGUGAUCGGCCACACUGGCACUGAGACACGGUCCAGACUCCUACGGGAGGCCGCAGUAGGGAAUCUUCCGCAAUGGGCGAAAGCCUGACGGAGCAACGCCGCGUGAGUGAUGAAGGUCUUCGGAUCGUAAAACUCUGUUAUUAGGGAAGAACAUAUGUGUAAGUAACUGUGCACAUCUUGACGGUACCUAAUCAGAAAGCCACGGCUAACUACGUG